CCCCCGCCCUCCAUUUCUCACCCGGUUUCGUCUGAGUACCUCCCACACCGCUGCUGCUCUGCGCCUGCGCGCUGCCCCAGCGACGCCACUCAGAGAAAGGGCGCCUGCUCGCUGUCCCCAGCAGCGCCGCUGGGGAGAGGCGCCUGCGCAGUCACGACCGCCUGCAGCCCCCGUUAGAUUUGGGUCUCCAAGCACCGAGGGAAACGUUGGACGGAAUCUGGCUAGGCUUGGUGGCUACGAUGGCCUGAAGCGUUCCUUUGGGUUCUCAACGCGGGCUCUCUAGUGCUUUCUGUACUAAAAACAAAGAAAAAGUCCUAUGAUUUUUCUUCUCUGAAUGUUUACCUAUCUGAUUCGUGAGAACCGAGGCAGAAUCCAGACCCACACACUGUCACGUCGGGAGAGCCUGCUGCGGCGAGCCUCUGCGAGACGGCGUUUCUUGGGUGGGGACCAAAAAGCCCAGUGCUACCAUAGUUUCGGAUCAUUCCUUUCUUUUUUUUUUUUUUUUUCAUGUCGGAUCAUUCUUUUAAGAAGCUGGGGCCCGGCGCGAUGGCUGACACCAGCACUCUGGGAGGCUGAAGCGGGCGGAUCGCUUGAGCCCAGGAGCUCGAGACCAGCCUCGACAACAUGGUGAAACCCCGUCUCUACAAAAAAUACAAAGAACUGACCGGCGUGGUGGUGUGCGCCUGUAGUCCCAGAAGAAAAGAAAAGAAAGAGGCCUUGUGAUCACAGAGGCAGACACUGGAAAAAUAAUGCUGCCAUAAGUCAAGGAAUGCCUGGAGCCACCAGAAACUGGAAGAGACAGGAAAACAAUCUCCCCGAGGGCCUCUAGAGAAGUGCAGCUCAGCCCUCUCCUGGCUUUGGACUUCUGCCCUCUGUGACUGAGAAAGAAUACAUGUCUGUUGUUUUAA